rnacentral:rRNA from 1 species
UACGUAGGGUGCAAGCGUUGUCCGGAAUUAUUGGGCGUAAAGAGCUCGUAGGCGGUCUGUCACGUCGGAUGUGAAAAUCCAGGGCUUAACCCUGGACCUGCAUUCGAUACGGGCAGACUAGAGUUCGGUAGGGGAGACUGGAAUUCCUGGUGUAGCGGUGAAAUGCGCAGAUAUCAGGAGGAACACCGGUGGCGAAGGCGGGUCUCUGGACAGUUCCUGACGCUGAGGCACGAAGGUCAGGGGAGCAAACGGG